rnacentral:rRNA from 1 species
CGUGGGAACGUACCUUUUGGUUCGGAACAACACAGGGAAACUUGUGCUAAUACCGGAUAAGCCCUUACGGGGAAAGAUUUAUCGCCGAAAGAUCGGCCCGCGUCUGAUUAGCUAGUUGGUGAGGUAAUGGCUCACCAAGGCGACGAUCAGUAGCUGGUCUGAGAGGAUGAUCAGCCACAUUGAGGACUGAGACACGGCCCAAACUCCUACGGGAGGCAGCAGUGGGGAAUAUUGGACAAUGGGGGCAACCCUGAUCCAGCCAUGCCGCGUGAGUGAUGAAGGCCCUAGGGUUGUAAAGCUCUUUUGUGCGGGAAGAUAAUGACGGUACCGCAAGAAUAAGCCCCGGCUAACUUCGUGCCAGCAGCCGCGGUAAUACGAAGGGGGCUAGCGUUGCUCGGAAUCACUGGGCGUAAAGGGUGCGUAGGCGGGUCUUUAAGUCAGGGGUGAAAUCCUGGAGCUCAACUCCAGAACUGCCUUUGAUACUGAAGAUCUUGAGUCCGGGAGAGGUGAGUGGAACUGCGAGUGUAGAGGUGAAAUUCGUAGAUAUUCGCAAGAACACCAGUGGCGAAGGCGGCUCACUGGCCCGGUACUGACGCUGAGGCACGAAAGCGUGGGGAGCAAACAGGAUUAGAUACCCUGGUAGUCCACGCCGUAAACGAUGAAUGCCAGCCGUUAGUGGGUUUACUCACUAGUGGCGCAGCUAACGCUUUAAGCAUUCCGCCUGGGGAGUACGGUCGCAAGAUUAGAACUCAAAGGAAUUGACGGGGGCCCGCACAAGCGGUGGAGCAUGUGGUUUAAUUCGACGCAACGCGCAGAACCUUACCAGCCCUUGACAUGUCCAGGACCGGUCGCAGAGACGUGACCUUCUCUUCGGAGCCUGGAACACAGGUGCUGCAUGGUUGUCGUCAGCUCGUGUCCUGAGAUGUUGGGUUAAGUCCCGCAACGAGCGCAACCCCCGUCCUUAGUUGCUACCAUUUAGUUGAGCACUCUAAGGAGACUGCCGGUGAUAAGCCGCGAGGAAAGGUGGGGGAUGACGUCAAGUCCUCAUGGGCCCUUACGGGCUG